GCAGCCGCGCCGCUGUGAUGAGUCAUGCGAAGGCAGCCAGACGCGUAGGUUCCUCACAGGAACCCGGAGGAAACCUGAGCGCACAUCGCUUGUUACCUAAUCCCUGCCUCCUUCGGGGCUUCCCUGGAGCUUCCGCCGGCGCCUCCGCUGCUGCCGGAGGGUGCGCGGGGCCUGGGCGGCAGCGGGGGGCGGCCCGGGCUCGCCCCGCCGUGAGGGGACGCCGCUGUCCCGCCGAGCCGCGGCCCGGGCCGGGGCCAAGAGCAGCCUCGGAGAGCGGGCUUGACAUCGGAGCGUGUUUGCGUGAGGGGAAGUGGCCAUGAGAAAGGCAGAGGCCACGAACAAAAGAGAUCCUGAUUACAGCAAGAAACGAAAUGAAGAACGUGGAAGUCAUGGCUGUGCAGCAGUUUGGUUCAAGCCCGAGCCACGGAUAAAGGAGAAGUUCAAAGCAGAGCUUUGACUGUCCUUGACCAAGGACUUUGCAGCAGGUGAGGGCUAAAGCCCCACUCUGGUGUAGCACUGAAAGCUGCAUUUCUCUUCCAGCAUCCACUGCCUGUGUCCUGCUCUGAGCCUGUGCUGAGCACGGUGCUGCAUCCAACCUCCUUGAAAUUCAGGUUUUUAACCUGAUCCCACUUUGGAAUCACUUUGGGAUCACUGCUGCUUCUCCUCCUCUGUCCGUGGCCGUUUCCGAGGGUUCAGCUCAGUCCCUUCUGUGCUGGCAGUGAC